rnacentral:rRNA from 1 species
GACGAACGCUGGCGGCGUGCUUAACACAUGCAAGUCGAACGGAAAGGCCCUGCUUUUGUGGGGUGCUCGAGUGGCGAACGGGUGAGUAACACGUGAGUAACCUGCCCUUGACUUUGGGAUAACUUCAGGAAACUGGGGCUAAUACCGGAUAGGAGCUCCUGCUGCAUGGUGGGGGUUGGAAAGUUUCGGCGGUUGGGGAUGGACUCGCGGCUUAUCAGCUGGUUGGUGGGGUAGGGGCUUACCAAGGCUUUGACGGGGAGCCGGCCUGAGAGGGUGACCGGCCACAUUGGGACUGAGAUACGGCCCAGACUCCUACGGGAGGCAGCAGUGGUGAAUAUUGCACAAUGGGCGGAAGCCUGAUGCAGCAACGCCGCGUGCGGGAUGACGGCCUACGGGUUGUAAACCGCUUUCGCCUGUGACGAAGCGUGAGUGACGGUAAUGGGUAAAGAAGCACCGGCUAACUACGUG